AAUCACCAUUUGGCAGGGCUACUAGGACUUGGGUCUCUCUCUUGGGCGGGGCAUCAAGUACAUCUAUCUUUACCGAUUAACCAAUUUCAAAAGGCGAGGAGGCAGCUGCUGCAUCAUGAGACAGAUAAUAAAAGAAGUAUUUCAACGAGGAACCAUGAAGCCACAUUUGUCAAGAAAACUAGAUAGUAGAUAAUCUAAAUUUAUACCCUUCAGAAAAAAUA
rnacentral:lncRNA from 1 species